rnacentral:rRNA from 1 species
UACGGAGGGAGCUAGCGUUGUUCGGAAUUACUGGGCGUAAAGCGCACGUAGGCGGCUUUUUAAGUCAGGGGUGAAAUCCCGGGGCUCAACCCCGGAACUGCCCUUGAAACUGGAGAGCUAGAAUCUUGGAGAGGCGAGUGGAAUUCCGAGUGUAGAGGUGAAAUUCGUAGAUAUUCGGAAGAACACCAGUGGCGAAGGCGACUCGCUGGACAAGUAUUGACGCUGAGGUGCGAAAGCUAGGGGAGCAAACAGG